UAUUGGGCAUGAUAAACGAAAUUGUCCUAUAUAUAACCAACUUGAUAAUGCAUCUGAAGAAGCCAGGUAUAUAUUUUUUCCCUGUUUUUUUAUUUGAUUUCUUACAUACAUUGCAUUAUUUUAAACAAAAUUCAUUAUCUCCACAGUUAUGGCACUAACAUUGAAAGAGGAAAGGGAAAAGCAGUUGGUAGGCCAAGAGGAAAAAAUAUAGUACAGGGUCGUGGUAGGAUGUUAAAUCAAGAUUGAUCGGUACCAAAGGCAUGAUGUCUUAAAUGUCUACAAGCUUGCGCCAUCAGCUACAUGAAUAACUUGAAAUUGUUUACUAAGAAGAUACCUAUUAUAGAUCACAGAAGAUUGAAGCAUCCACUACUCUUAAUGUCGACGAUGUGGAUUGAUUUCAUUUUCAUGGCAAUAAUGAACCCACUGCUUGUUGCACUCUUUGCUUCUAAUUCGAUGCAUUGUGGCUUGAUAGAAGGUGGAAAGCUAGUGAUUGCAUGAUGAUUAUAUGGGCAUAUUACAGUCCUUGUGAAAUGCUCGAUGAUUGGCUUCUAAUUCAACGUUGUGUGACUUACAAUAGGUGGGAAACUAGAGGUUGUAUGUUGAACAUAUGGGAAUAUGAUUAAAUGAAAUGAUCGAUGUUUGGCUUA